AGUGAACGCUGGCGGUAUGCCUAAUACAUGCAAGUCGAACGGCAGCACAGUAAGAUUGUGCUAUUACGGUUGGCGAGUGGCGGACGGGUGAGGAAUACAUCGGAAUCUACUUUUUCGGGGGGGAUAACGGAGGGAAACUUAUGCUAAUACCGCAUACGUCUUACGACUGAAAUCAGGGGUGCUUGGGACCUUUCGCGAAUGAAUGAGCCGAUGUGGGAUUAGCUAGUUGGCGGGUUAAAGGCCCACCAAGCCAACGGUCAGUAGCUGGUCGGAGAGGAUGGCCAGCCACACUGGACCUGGGAACCGGUCCAGACUCCUACGGGAGGCAGCAGUGGGGAAUAUUGGCCAAUGGGCGCAAGCCUGAUCCAGCAAUACCGCGUGGGUGAGGAAGGCCUUCGGGUUGUAAAGCCCUUUUGUUGGGAAAGAAAAGCAGCAGGUUGAUACGCCGUUGUUCUGACGGUACCCAAAGAGUAAGCAACGGCUAACUUCGUG
rnacentral:rRNA from 1 species